AUUCUCCCAUGCCUCAAAAAUUAUUUAUUUAUUUUUGUUGAUUUAGAUUUGUACAAAAAUGGUCUGCAAAGAAGCAAUUUCGUACCUUUUAUACCAAUUCUUAAGAAACACUGUGAAGUCAUUUGCCUGGACUCAGGAAUAGAUUAUCGCAAAAUAGACAUGUCUUUUAUUGGAAAGUUGUAUUUUAGGUAGGUUCACAAAGGAGUGCGUGAUGUGCUUUGGGUCAAAGGACGUCAAAGGACGUUAACCUGCAUGACAGGCCUUGUUGGGGGAGGGGAAGUGGAGGAUUUGUACCGUGCACCGGUGGCUCAGUUGGUUGGGCAUCGGGUUGUCACGCGGGAGGUCGUGAGUUCGA